rnacentral:rRNA from 1 species
UACGGAAGGCAGCAGUGGGGAAUAUUGCACAAUGGGCGCAAGCCUGAUGCAGCCAUGCCGCGUGUAUGAAGAAGGCCUUCGGGUUGUAAAGUACUUUCAGUCGUGAGGAAGGUGUUAAGGUUAAUAACCUUAGCAAUUGACGUUAGCGACAGAAGAAACACCGGCUAACUCCGUGCCAGCAGCCGCGGUAAUACGGAGGGUGCGAGCGUUAAUCGGAAUUACUGGGCGUAAAGGGCACGCAGGCGGUUAAUUAAGUUGGAUGUGAAAUCCCCGGGCUUAACCUGGGAAUGGCAUUCAAGACUGGUUAGCUAGAGUCUUGUAGAGGGGGUAGAAUUCCAUGUGUAGCGGUGAAAUGCGUAGAGAUGUGGAGGAAUACCGGUGGCGAAGGCGGCCCCUGGACAAAGACUGACGCUCAUGUGCGAAAGCGUGGGGAGCAAACAGGGAUUAGAUACC